rnacentral:rRNA from 1 species
AGAACGAACGCUGGCGGCGUACUUAACACAUGCAAGUCGGACGAGAAAGGGAGCUUCGGCUCCUGAGUAAAGUGGCGAACGGGUGCGUAACACGUAAGUAAUCUACCCUAGACACUGGGAUAACUUUCCGAAAGGGAGGCUAAUACCGGAUAGGUCCUCAUAGCAACAGUCGUGAGGGGAAAGCAGGCCUCUGUUUCAAGCUUGCAGUUUAGGAUGAGCUUGCGGCUCAUUAGCUAGUUGGUAGGGUAAAAGCCUACCAAGGCGACGAUGGGUAGCUGGUCUGAGAGGAUGAUCAGCCACACUGGCACUGAGACACGGGCCAGACUCCUACGGGAGGCAGCAGUGGGGAAUUUUGCGCAAUGGGCGAAAGCCUGACGCAGUAACGCCGCGUGGAGGAUGAAGGCCUUCGGGUUGUAAACUCCUGUCAGGAGGAACGACGGGAGUAGAAUGAAUAAUUCUAUUCCCCAGACGGUACCUCCAAAGGAAGCCCCGGCUAAUUCCGUGCCAGCAGCCGCGGUAAUACGGAAGGGGCAAGCGUUGUUCGGAAUCAUUGGGCGUAAAGGGCGCGUAGGUGGUCUUGUGUGUCUAUCGUGAAAGCACACGGCUCAACCGUGUAAAGUCGGUGGAAACUGCAGGACUUGAGGUUGGGAGGGGCUGGUGGAAUUCCCUGUGUAGCGGUGAAAUGCGUAGAGAUGGGGGAGAACACUUGUGGCGAAGGCGGCCAGCUGGACCAAUCCUGACACUGAGGCGCGACAGCGUGGGGAGCAAACAGGAUUAGAUACCCUGGUAGUCCACGCCGUAAACGAUGGGCACUAGGUGCUGGCGGUAUUGAUCCCGUCAGUGCCGGCGCUAACGCAGUAAGUGCC